rnacentral:lncRNA from 1 species
UGUAGAUCUUGUCAUUCUAUAGUCAGAGACGCUAGAAGGAUACUUGGAGCUCCAAAUACAGGUGAAACUCUAUCCAUCGGGACAUUGUCAGUUCUUGAUCUAAAGGCCAAUUUAUAGUCAGGAUCACCUUAAACAGGCCCAAGAAAGUUGGAUAAAGAGACUCCUGUAUAGGUUUAUUUUUAUGUCUCGGAGAAACGUGUGUUACUUUCUCCAUUGUUUUAAAGAAACUUUUGACGUCGAGGUUGCUAGAAGUAAAGGUGGACACGUUAAAGAAAUUAAAGGAGAUUGAUCAUGAGCGGCAGUGAUUAAUUGAAAAGCAUUCGUGCUACUAGACUGGUCUUAAAUGAUCUGUGGAAACGUUCUAUGAGUCCGUUGGACUCUGGAUGAUACGAGGUUGUGUUGUUGCUUGUUAACCCAAGUGCCCUGCAAACACCCAUCCAUAAUGAACUUGUGAACGGCGUUCCUCGGUCAGACACAUUGGUUUCUGGGACUCCAAACUUCGAGAUCCCACCACUCAAAAAAUUAUUGACUAGUGUCUUGGAGGAUAUAUCUGGAAUAGGUAUGACUUCUGGUACCUAGUGAAACGAUCCAAAAUAGUAGGGGGAUAACGCUGUUCCUAAAUUAGUGGGAAUGAACCAAUUAUGUCUAUGUGAAUAAAGGAAUGUCUUUCAGAUGUCUGAUUGAAAGACGACAUUGGUUUUGAGGUCCUGAAAGGUCUGGUUUUCUGACAUGCUAAACACUCUCUAGUGAAGACGUUAAAAAAGUGAAACCCUUCUUAACAUUUCUUUGAAUCCCGGAUGAUUGUCCUUGUGUACUGAAUGUCCGAUUCUUCGACGUAAUUCUGGAGAUAACACAGCCAUACUGAACGCGUGAGCAUUGCCAACACCAGCAAGUAUGGUUCCUGCAAUGUAUUUAAAAGAAGCCCUAAUUUUAAACUGAAAUAAAUUAGGAUCCUGUUUCUUUUGAUCCUCAAAAAGAAUGUCUGCAGUAUGAUUUAAUUUACCAGAAAUGUGUUGGAUUUUACAAUGAUAUUCUGCUAUGAAUGCAAAAGUACAUAAUUAUCUUGGUGUCCAAGAGGGAUUUGCGAAUGUCAAUCGUAGUGACUAAAGGUUUUUGGUCCGUGAAAACUUUAAAAACUUGUCCAUCCAAUGCCCAUAGAAAAUGUUUGAUGCUUUCCUUAACACUUAAUAAUUCCCUAUCAAACGUAGAAUAUUUAUGUUGUGUCGUUGAAAGAGCCCGAGACCAAAAAUCUAGAGGUUGCCAUUGUCCAUUUACCUUUUGCUCGAGAAAAGCUCCCAUCCCUGUAUCAGAUGCAUCAGUCCUCAGGGAUAAAGGGGUAAAAUGAAACUGUCCAUUGAAACAAUCUUGCGAUCAACUUUGAGUAAUACUUUGCCAUGCCCAAAAAUCUGGGCAAUUAUUAUUUUUUUUUUUUGAUUUUGGAGUUGGUACUUUUUGGAUGGACUUUACCUUACAUUCUAGAUCCCUAAAACCUUUCGAUGAAAUAGAUUGUCCUAGGAACCGAUUUUAUAACAAACUCACAUUUUUCAGGGAAAAGGAUCGUACCAGCUGUUUUAAGUCUUGAUAAAACCACGUUUAAUUUUUUUCAAUUUUCAUCCAUCGACUCCAAAGCGACAAGCAUAUCAUAAGGUACAAAAACACAUUUGGAAUUCCUCGUAGAAUUGAAUCGAUGAGUCUCUGAAUUGUCUGAGCAGUAUUUUUAAGACCAAAAGGCAUCCUCCAAUAAUCAUACAAACCAAAUGGUGUAAUGAUUGCAGUUUUACUUAACGAAGUGCUAUUCAUUGAUUAGCCACCAAAAUCUCUUAGAUUUGGAAGGGCAUACCGAUCAAAGUCCGUCAUCCUAUUUCAUUGACGAUAGUCGCCCCACAUUCGCCAGCUUUCUUUGGGUUUUGGAACGACGUGAAUAUCGGAAGAAAAAUAAGAAGAAGACUUUUUAAUUCCUUUUUUCAAAAAAUCGUUGAUUUUGUCGCGUAUAAAAUUUAAUUUCUCACCCUCUAACUUGUGGGAUUUCGCAAAGCAAGGAGGACCUUUAGUCCCUAUAUGGCGUUCAACUCUUUGAGCUGGAUAAGUUUCAAUGAAAAUUUUAUGAUCCAAGACAUCAAUAUAUUUCAAUUUGAUUUCUUGAGUCUUGGAUAGUUCUGAUAACUUUUUAUUGAAAAUAUCAACUCCAAAUCUGAAACUAUAUAAGAAAUCUGCACUCAAAAUUGGACGACCACUUUGUACCACAAUAAAUUUCCUUUUGAAAUCUCCUAGAUUUUCUAACUUGAAAUUUAAAGUUGUUGUACGAAUAACAUCAACAAGGGCUCCUCCAUAUCUUAUAACAGCAGGGAGUUUUUCUCGAAUAAGACUUUUACGUAUUUCAAAUGGAAUAGCAUACACUUGCACUCCUGUAUCUACCAUUAAGUGUAUCAAAUUUUAAUUGACUUUGAGGAAAAAGAAGUUUAAUUAUUUAUUUACUGCCUCGGUCCCGUGCAACCGAGGGCAAGUUAGUUUUUUGAAACAAGUACAAAAUAAAUGGCAACUAGCUCCUGAACAGAUUUAGUAAAUUUGGACGUGUUAUGAAGAGGAUUUUUAAAACAUGAUUGAUAGGAGGCGAAGCGGACGAGUCUUCAACAGUGGAAAUAUGUGAAUUGCUAAGUUCUUUGGCUGCUAUAUACAUUUGCUUUAACUUUUCAACUAAAUGGGACUGUUCUCUCAAGUACCUUUGAUGGUCUUUAGAACAUUUCUGAUGAAUGUCUCCUGUACUAAAUGAUGACGCAAAUCAUGGAUGUAUUCCUCGUCAAGGAGACGCUCAACUUCAUCCAUAACUUCCCCAGGGGAAAAUCCCGAUGAAUCGCACAGCAUAUCAGAAUUUUUUA